CUUAAAAAUAACAUAAAAUAGACCCCUGCCUCAAAUAAAUACACGCCUCAACCCAAAUAGAGGCCUCCAUUUUCCCACCAUAAGAAAAAAAAAUGCCUCCUCUCAAAUAAUCAUAAAUAAUAAUAUGUGACGGCCCAUCUCUUCUUUUUGGACUGAACGUCGGGCAAAAUCAUCCAACCAACAAGCUCAUUCUCUGAUUCUCCCUGAACUGAGGUCUCGGGCAAAAAAAACAAACACGAUUAGUUCACCACCGGAAUCAAAGUCCAUCAUUUUGUUGACCAAACUUGCCCCAUUUUUCCCGCCUCUUGUGUGGUAAUGUGGGUGGGGGGUUGGGGAGGGGGGGCGUCUGGGUCGGCUAUACUAGCCGAGUCGCCAACCUGGUGUGUUCACAUUCCACUCAAGUCGCCAUGGGUGGACGCAAGUUUCUUCGUUGGACGAUCCUGCUCUGCCUCCUGUGCGCCGUCGCCGCACGGGGCAGCUUAAGGAAAAAACUAUCCAAGGCUCUCAACCCGCGACGCAUCUUACAAAAGAUCGGGUUGUUGAAGCCCAAACAAGUGGCUGCUCCAAG